rnacentral:rRNA from 1 species
UACGUAGGGGCGAGCGUUGUCCGGAUUUAUUGGGCGUAAAGCGCGCGUAGGCGGCUCGUUAAGUCGGGUGUGAAAACCCGGGGCUCAACCCCGGGCCUGCAUCCGAUACUGGCGGACUCGAGGCAGACAGGGGAGAGUGGAAUUCCUGGUGUAGCGGUGAAAUGCGCAGAUAUCAGGAGGAACACCGGUGGCGAAGGCGGGACUCUGGGCCGAUACUGACGCUGAGGAGCGAAAGCGUGGGGAGCGAACAGG